rnacentral:rRNA from 1 species
UACGAAGGGGGCUAGCGUUGUUCGGAAUUACUGGGCGUAAAGCGCGUGUAGGCGGGUCUUUAAGUCAGGGGUGAAAUGCCAAGGCUCAACCUUGGAACUGCCUUUGAUACUGGAGACCUUGAGUCCGGGAGAGGUGAGUGGAAUUGCGAGUGUAGAGGUGAAAUUCGUAGAUAUUCGCAAGAACACCGGUGGCGAAGGCGGCGACCUGGUCCGUUGACUGACGCUGAGGCGCGAAAGCGUGGGGAGCAAACAGG